CCAAUAGCGUAUAUUAAAGUUGUUGCAGUUAAAAAGCUCGUAGUUGAAUUUCGGGAUUGACACAUCGGUCGUGCCUUAAGGGGUAUGAACUGGUGUAGUCAAUUUCUCACCUUCUGGAGAACCGCGAUGCCCUUAAUUGGGUGUCGCGGGGAACCAGGACCUUUACUUUGAAAAAAUUAGAGUGUUUAAAGCAGGCAUUUAGCUUGAAUACAUUAGCAUGGAAUAAUAAAAUAGGACGGCAUGAUUCGAUUUUGUUGGUUUCUAGGAUCACCGUAAUGAUUAAUAGGGAUAGUUGGGGGCAUUAGUAUUCAAUUGUCAGAGGUGAAAUUCUUGGAUUUAUUGAAGACUAACUACUGCGAAAGCAUUUGCCAAGGAUGUUUUCAUUAAUCAAGAACGAAAGUUAGGGGAUCGGAGACGAUCAGAUACCGUCGUAGUCUUAACCAUAAACUAUGCCGACUAGGAAUCAGACGAUGUUAAUUUUUUAAUGACUCGUUUGGCACCUUACG
rnacentral:rRNA from 1 species